GAUUGGUAGUCAAUCUGUAUCUUAAGCAAUCGCUAUCAAAAAUAAUACGAGCCCAGCAGCAGCAGCUCUAAAAUUUCUUCUUUCUACGAGAUUAAUCCUAUACAGAUCUGUCUGAAGAGUAUUCCUAGUUCAAGUUUGGUCCAUAAAAGCUCAUUAAUUCAUGAUCAGCAUUUAGAUUGUGGUGCUAGUACAAUGGACCCUGUUGGUGGAGGGAAUAGUCUCAACAACAACCCUAGUCUUGCUUCAAAGCAACGAUUGCGUUGGACUCAUGAGCUUCAUGAACGCUUUGUUGAUGCUGUGGCACAACUUGGUGGACCAGAUCGGGCUACCCCCAAAGGUGUUCUCAGAGUCAUGGGUGUGCAAGGUUUAACAAUAUACCAUGUCAAAAGCCAUUUACAGAAAUAUCGACUUGCAAAAUACCUUCCUGACUCUUCAUCUGAUGGGAAAAAAGCUGACAAGAAAGAAACUGGAGAUAUGCUUUCCAAUUUGGAUGGUUCAUCUGGAAUGCAAAUUACAGAAGCACUGAAGCUGCAGAUGGAAGUGCAAAAGCGACUGCAUGAGCAAUUGGAGGUGCAGAGACAGCUACAGUUACGUAUUGAAGCGCAAGGGAAGUACUUGAAGAAGAUAAUUGAAGAGCAACAACGACUCAGUGGAGUCCUUGGAGAGGUGCCUGCUGCAGGGGCCUCUGCCCCGGUAUCAGGUGAUAGUUGUCCAGAAUCUGACCACAAGACUGACCCAGCGACCCCUGCUCCAACUUCUGAGUCCCCUGUUCAAGACAAGGCUGCCAAGGAGCGUGCCCCAGCCAAAAGCCUUUCUAUUGAUGAAUCAUUCUCAUCUCACCAUGAGCCAUUGACUCCAGAUUCACGUUGUAAUGUUGGUUCCCCAGCCGAGAGCCCUAAAGGUGAGAGGUCUAUGAAGAAGCAACGGCUAUCCAUGAGCACAGCAUAUUCAAAACCAGAUAUGGUCCUGACUCACCAGAUACUGGAGUCGAGCUUAAACUGCUUCCCACAGCCACAUUCUGUAUUUGUGGCAAGAGAGCAGUUUAAUCCUUCAUCUGGAUUAUCUGUUGGAAAUGAAGAUGAAAUAGAGAAGGCUUCAGGCAAUGAUCUGUAGUUUUGGUUGCUACAUGAUUUCAUGAUGUCUGCCCUUGAUGACUCUUUUCAUUUUGCUUUUCUAUGUAAUUUCUAAGAAUAUGUU
rnacentral:misc_RNA from 1 species